AAACUGCAAUCAAAUAAAAUUAAAAGUAAAUGUAAGAAACGGUUUUUAUUUUUUUUGCAUUUUCCAUACUGUCCCUUUUUUUGAAGUUUUUUGAUUGCAGUCUCUUCUCUGCUGCCAUGGUCAUACUUGUGUUUGCUUCUCCACUUCAAUCAAAUUAAGUGUUUCUGGAUCUAUUCUGUUAUAAUCUGCUCUUACCUGGUUACUUUCGUUUUCCCUGGUUGAUUAUUUUUCAUUUGUGUUUUCCCGUCUGUGUACGUUGUUAGUUCUGUUAUCCUCCGCUUUAUUUUGUGUUCGUUAAGGUUUAUUUUGGACUUUCGCUUUUUGUUCUAGUUAGAUUUGUGUGUGUGUUUUUGCCUGCCCGGUUUCCUUCUCCCCCGGCGGCUUGGAGCGGUACUGUUCCCGGAGAUUGCAGUGGAAGCCAACCAAUGGAUCGCUGGAGGGCGGACCUCACUCACCUGUGCCUCAUUUUCCACCUAAUCAGCUACUGCUUAUAAACGCCGGCUUUUUCACCACCAGUCACCAGAUUGUCUGCUUGUCACCGCGCCCAGCGAUCCAUUCACCAUCUGGCUUCCCUGCGCUCCUGUUGGUUCCUGAACUAGGCUCCUUGCUCCCGUGACCCCGGUUUACCUCUCACUGCCACUGCUUGUUCUUCCUCUGCCCUGGACGGCUUUGGACACCUACCCCUCUUGGACCUGGACACAUCACAGCUCCUCAUCUCCCAAAGAACCGCUCCAGCCGCUUCCUCAGUGUCCCCUGUUUGGACUUAUCGCUAUUUUCCCUGUCUUCCUGUAUUUCAAUAAAUAUUCAUUGCCAA